rnacentral:rRNA from 1 species
UACGUAGGCAGCGAGCGUUGUUCGGAAUUACUGGGCGUAAAGGGCGCGUAGGCGGGAUGGCAAGUCGGUCGUGAAAUCCCUCGGCUCAACUGAGGAUCGUCGAUCGAUACUGCCGUUCUUGAGGAUUGCAGAGGAAAGCGGAAUACCUGGUGUAGGGGUGAAAUUCGUAGAUAUCAGGUGGAACACCAGUGGCGAAGGCGGCUUUCUGGACGAUAACUGACGCUGAGACGCGAAAGCGUGGGGAGCAAACAGG